AUUGAACGCUGGCGGCAGGCCUAACACAUGCAAGUCGAGCGGAUGAAGGGAGCUUGCUCCUGGAUUCAGCGGCGGACGGGUGAGUAAUGCCUAGGAAUCUGCCUGGUAGUGGGGGAUAACGUCCGGAAACGGGCGCUAAUACCGCAUACGUCCUGAGGGAGAAAGUGGGGGAUCUUCGGACCUCACGCUAUCAGAUGAGCCUAGGUCGGAUUAGCUAGUUGGUGGGGUAAAGGCCUACCAAGGCGACGAUCCGUAACUGGUCUGAGAGGAUGAUCAGUCACACUGGAACUGAGACACGGUCCAGAAUCCUAAGGGAGGCAGCAGUGGGGAAUAUUGGACGAUGGGCGAAAGCCUGAUACAGCCAUGCCGCGUGUGUGAAGAAGGUCUUCGGAUUGUAAAGCACUUUAAGUUGGGAGGACGGGCAGUAAGUUAAUACCUUGCUGUUUUGACGUUACCAACAGAAUAAGCACCGGCUAACUUCGUG
rnacentral:rRNA from 1 species